UCCCUGGCGGCUCAGAUGGUAGAGAAUCUGCCUGCAGUGCAGGAGACCCAGGUUCGAUCCCUGGGUUGGGAA
rnacentral:tRNA from 1 species